UUGACAUUGUCGCUGUCAAAAUUUUACGUUGUCGCCAUUUUAUUUCCACAGGAAUGGACAGCAUCACUAGUAUCGCUGGUUCCAGUUAGUGGUUCUCUAAGCAAUAUGCAUAUGUGGGUUUUUAUAUCUUAAUCCUACAGAUAAGGAGCAUUCAAAAUUAGAUUGAUCAAAUAUAACACCAAGGAAUGCUUAUUGAUGUACUAACUGGUGCAUUUUAUAGUCAUUUGGGAGACAUAGGUUCAACUGGUUCAUUGUUGCCUGCCCUGGGCCUUCGCAGGGACGUCUGCUUGGAUACCGGAAUGGAUACACCGAGAAUCAUCCAUCACCGAUUGUCGGAAGAUUUUCGGAGGGUUUUGUAGGUAUUUCCAUAGAUUAUGUCAACGUGAAAUCUGAGAGCCGUUUUAGCUAAACAUUAGGCAUUUGACUGUAUAUUUUUGUGUAGUUUAAUUCAACGAGGAGUAUGAAACAUUUAAAACCACUAGAAAGACCUUCAACUGAAACAGACGCAAAAUGUGCGCCAAGCAAGGAAAGUAUUCGCAAUAAAAUAUAAUA